GCGGCUGGUGUCUUAGCCUCCCAGAGUGCUCCAACUGUGCCCAGUGUCCAGCCCCACUAAUCACCAGAACCCAAUGCAUGUGGACUUGUGUUCCUGAAGCAGAUUUCCAGGGUCAGGUGUGUAGAGUUCCUGAGCACCUAUCCCCUCCCCACUCGGUGCCUCUUCCUCCUGCCUGGGGGCUGGUUUGGGGGAAAGGCUUGGGUCUGCUCAGUCACAGCUCUGACACUUUACCCUCUUCUGUGUGGUUUCCUCUCCUUCUCCAGGUGUAGGGGAUCUGUCCUGCAGUCUUCAGGUCCUCUUCAGGUUUCACUGUAUUUGCUGUAGUUGCUUCCUGUGUGUAUGAGAGAGGAGGUUUCUUUCUUGUCUUCUUUCUCUGCCAUCUUGAGUCUUGGGAAUCCAGAAAUGCCCAAUUUUCUGACAUAACAAAUUCUUUCUGCUUUUUUCUUUUUGGCAAGUCUAAAUAUUAGAAUACUUUCUUUUUUGAAGCCUUGGGUUGUACUCUUGGCUUUAAUUGAAACCCCUGAGUAAAAAGUAUUUGGCCUUGGUUCAUGUGUCUGUGAAGGUAAAGGUGAGACCAGGUACAUUCUAAGGUGUCAGACUAUGCCUUGUGGAAAGGGUGGCUCUGUGUGAAAGCCUUGAUGCUUUAUAAAGUAAGGAUUUGAACAUUUCUAUAUAUGCAAAAAAAUUUUUUUCUAUUUCAAGAGGAAUUUUUCUUUUUUAACUCCUAGAGGAGAGAGCUAGGAAGUCCUUCAUUUAUAGAUGAGGAAGCUGAGGUCCAAGGAGGCAAAGUAAUUCGCUCCAGUUCUCCUGCCAGGGAUUAUUUACAAGAUUUUAUUCCCACUUAAGUGAACUGGGAUGUCAGGAGGUAUAGCAAGCAUUGUGAACAUUUCCUUGGAUAUGUAGAUGCUCAUGAAAUAUGUCAAGGAAUAAAGAAAAGUAACUCUCAGUGGUGCCUGAUUUUAUAAUUAUUUCUGUGAAAGUCAAAUUAACUUAUGGUGAAUUUGCUAUGAGAAAUAUUCAUAUGAACUUUGUUAUGGUGUAGCCAGUAAUUAUAUGGAUUACAGUGUAGCUCGAUGAAGGAAAUGAAUCUAAUACGUAUCUCAGGAUGAUCUUCCAAAGCCAUUGUUCAUACAAGUCAAAGCUAACAGCUAUUGGUUAUGGCCUUUGUCCAGUUGGAUAUAUACAGCUUUUGGCGACUUGAUAGUCCGUCCGUGCAAAUGAAGGAUGGUGUGGUACAAAGGAAAGAGUAAAGGAUCUAGAGACAGAAAGCUUGGGUUUUCAUUUUGCCCUGGGAGUCCCUUAUUCUGAGACACUAAAUCUAGCUGUUAUUUGAGCCUAAUCUGUAAAAGAGAGAAAAUAUUCAUCUAUUGGGGGGGAUUAAGAAGGGGUUAAUGUAUAUAUCCAUUUAAAUGUAAUUGUGCUGAGGUGCAUACAGGCCUUUAAGUGACAGUCUUCUGGUAGCAAUCUAAAUGUAAAUAGCAGAGUUUGAGUUCCUUUGCAUCUAAUUCCAGCUGACUUUUAGCCACAAAUCCAUACUAGUGAUACCCACUGACACCGUCUGACUGAAGUGCUGGUUCUUCCACCACUGCCUCAGAGUGCAGCCAGCAGGAGCAAGGCCAGCUCUUAGCUCUGAGUCCAGCCAGACGAAACACUGCUGGUGAGCUCUCCUUGAUCAGGAAUAUUUUGGGGUGGGGGGGUUGAUGUGUCAGCCUAGGCCUGUGAUCUAGUUCGUAUUUUUGUUUUGUUGGAAUUUAGUGCUUGUGCAAAGUUAAAUUCUAGAAUCAGGAAGCAUCCGUGAACUUUCUUUGUGGAGGCCUCUGGAAAAUACUUUAGGAGGCGGUAGAUACUUAGGACUGUGAGUCAUGGGUCUAUGCAGACCAAGAGUGUAGUUGUCUUGACUCACUUCUCCUAAAUGGAACAUGUACACACUUGUCCCUUGUCUGUAUGUAUAUGUGUAUCUGUGUGUAUGAGUGAAUUCAGGGUCCAUGAGCAAGAAGAGGUAAUUUGGUCAUAGCUAUUGGCAGUGGCUACAGCCAUUGACUGGACUGGCCCUUGUCCAGACAUUUAUGAAGGAAAUGGACAGAUUGAGUAAAGUUUCAGUAUAUUUUGCCUAGUGUUGCUCAAAUACAAGAGCUAUAGUUAAUUUUUUCUUUCUUUUUCAAAGGUUUGGCUUCUACCAAACAAAAUGAAGGGCACAAAACAUUUGAGAGGAUAUUAUGCAGAUGUUAGUUAUUUAAUAAUGAUAAUUUAAUAUUUAAUAAUAAUGAUAAUGAAAUCAAUAUACUGGUGUUUAUUAUUAUUAAAGCUGUUAGUCACCAUAGCUCCUACUGGCCUCUGCUUCAGGGAUUUGCCAUGGGUGGACAGGUUUGAUAUCAUGGGGAUUUCCCUGAGCAAUACAUUAUAUUCUGCCAAUGCUAAGGUAAUUUGAACAUAUUAGCAACUGGUACAUUGUGGUUAUUGACCAAUCAGAACAGACACUGAAACAGUGUAACACAAUGGCAAAUCCUGCUAAACAGCAGUCCCUAUCAAUGAUCAAGACUCCACUGAGGUAAACCAAAUUAGAAAUUUACCUCGUUUUAUAGAUAACUUUUGCACCAUAUCCAUUCACAAAAUCUUCCAGCUCAAAUACUUUCUGAAUGAUCUAUUCAAGUUGUUCUCAACAUUGAAUUCUUGCGCCUUUGGGUGUUUGUAGAUUUAUUCUGAGGGUGUAUGAGUCUUCCACCUUCAUUUUUGAAUCAUUCCUUUUUUAAAUUUUAUUUUAUUAAGGCAUCAUUGAUAUACACUCUUAUGAAGGUUUCACAAGAAAAACAAUGUGGUUAUUACAUUCACCCUUAUUAUCGAGUCCCUCCCCCAUACCCCAUUGCAGUCACUGUCCAUCAGUGUAGCAAGAUGCCACAGAGUCCCUCUUCUCUGAGCUACAUUGUCUUCCCCGUGACCCCACACCCCAUGUGCACCAACCAUAAUACCCCACAAUCCCCUUCUUCCUCCCUCCCCACUAGCCCUCCCACACCCCUCCCCUUUGGUAACUGAUAGACCCUUCUUGAAGUCUCUGAGUCUGCUGCUAUUUUGUUCCUCCAGUUUUGCUUCAUUGUUUUACUCCACAAAUGAGGGAAAUCAUUUGGUAUUUGUCUUUCUCUGCCUGACUUAUUUCACUGAGCAUAAUGUCCUCCAGCUCCAUCCAUUUUGUUGCAAAUGGUAGAAUUUGUUUCUUUCUUAUGGCUGAAUAGUAUCCCAUUGUGUGUAUGUACCCAUCUUUAUCCAUUCAUCUACAGAUGGACACUUAGGUUACUUCCAUAUCUUGGUUAUUGUAAAUAGUGCUGCAAUAAAUAUAGGGGUGCAUAUGUAUUUUUGAAUCUGAGAAGUUGUUUUCUUUGGGUAAAUUCCUAUAAUGGAGUUCCGGGGUCAAAUGGUAUUUCUAGUUUUAGUUUUUUAAGGAGCCUCCAUAUUGCUUUCCACAAUGGUUGAACUAGUUUACAUUCCCACCAGCAGUGUAGGAGGGUCCCCUUUCUCCUCAUCCUUGCCAGCAUUUGUUAUUCCUAGUCUUUUCUAUGUUGGCCAUCCUAACUGGCAUGAGGUGAUAUCUCAUUGUGGUUUUUAUUUGCAUUUCCUUGAUAAUUAGCAAUGUGGAGCAUUUUUCAUGUGCCUGUUUGCUGUCUGAAUUUCUGAAUGUCAUUCCUUUUUGGUGAUAAUCUCUAUAAAGAUUAAUAGGAGCACAGCUUGGCUCAGCUGUAUGACCACUUCAUAUUUGAGCACUGCCACACAAUUUCUGUGCCCACAUCCUGGUGCCUAAAGAACAUGAUGAACUUUAGCAUGGGUUAGGAUCCACAGCUAGAGGUCCUCAGAUUUAUUAUCAGGUGCCAGUGGUUAAUCUAUUUAAAAUCUGUUCCAGUCCAUCCAUGACAGACUCCUACUCCACCUCCCUCACCUCUGCUUAACUCUUCCAGCAGAGGAUACACACACUACAUACAAAGUCAUAGAUUUGGGAACUGAGAAGGACCCAGGAGAUCCUGUGGUCCAGCCUUCGCAGUGUUAAAUGAUUUACCAGUCUACCGUUGUUAGUGGGGGAUUUGCAAUCCUGUGUUUAUAAUCUUGCCACCUGGUUUCACUUUUGGACAGUUUUAAUUGUUCUUUUCUCUGUUGGAUUUAAAUCUGCUUCCUUAGAGUGUACUUAAAGCCAUUGGUUCUCAUUCUAACCUCUGGAGCCAUACCAAAGAAGUGUAACUGUCCUCUGGUGAGGAUAUACUGAAUGUGACAAGUUAUUUAACAUUUUUUCUUGUAGGGUCUGGGUCAUGUCAAAGUCUGCAAUUUGCUCCUAAGAAUGUGGUAAAAAUAUGGUGACAUACUGGUAUCUUUGAAUAGGCACUGAAUUUCUGAAAGUGGAACCCUUUUUAAAAAGUACCAGGGGAUAUUACUUGUUUAAAGAAAGACUCAUUUGGUGAAGGGGGGACCCUAGUAAACAUAAUGUUCUUCAUGUAAUUGUAAAUUAAUGACAACAAAAUAAAUAAAUAAAUAAUAAAAUAAAUAAAAAUUAAAAAAGGAAGACUCAUUUGGCAGUACAACCAUUUCCUAACAUAACUUUUGCACCUAGGAAUUUUUUAAAGAGGGCAUUUUCUAUUAAAAGUUUUAAAAUUUUAUUAACUUAUACUUUUUAAAUCUGUUUUUGAAUAGGUAAUGUCUUUAUAGUGUUCAAAGACAAGAAAAUAUAAAAAGGUUUUCCAGAAAAGUCUCACCCCCUGUUUCUGCCCACCUUAUGCCCAGUGCUCCCACCUCUUUACCCCAUAGAUAAUUUCAAGGUUUCUUAAUGCAAAUGAAAUACAACAAAUCCAGAUAUAUAUGUAUUUUAAAAUAGGUAUUUCUUGAGACAAAGUACAUGCACUGUGAAACUCACAUCUCUCAUUGGUGUCAUUUUAAAUGUUUCUGUAACAUGCUUGGAAAUACUGGUACAAUUCUAGAAUGGGAAUGACUUUCAGCUUUGUGGACUAGGCAUUUGUAAACAGCAAUAAUUGACUUACCAAUAAAGGGAUUUUUUUCCUUUUUA